GAAAGCCAUUUGCGGGAAAACUGCUCGUACGGUUUGAUGAGGAGGGACUGGGAUCCCAGCCCUUUACUCUAC
rnacentral:autocatalytically_spliced_intron from 1 species